rnacentral:rRNA from 1 species
UACAGAGGUCUCAAAGCGUUGUUCGGGAUUCAUUGGGCGUAAAAGGGGUGCGUAGGCGGCGCGGUAAGUCGGGGUGUGAAAUCUCGGAGCUUAACUCCGAAAACUGCAUUCGAUACUGCCGUGCUUUGAGGACUGGAGAGGAGACUGGAAUUUACGGUGUAGCGGUGAAAUGCGUAGAUAUCGUAAGGAAGACCAGUGGCGAAGGCGGGGUCUCUGGACAGU